rnacentral:rRNA from 1 species
AGCCAUGCCGCGUGCAGGAAGACGGCCUUCUGGGUUGUAAACUGCUUUUAUCUGGAAAGAAAAUGCCCUUGCGAUGGAAAUUGCCUGCUCCGGAUGAAUAAGGACCGGCUAACUCCGUGCCAGCAACCGCGGUAAUACGGAAGGUGCAAGCGUUGACCGGAUUUAUUGGGUUUAAAGGGUGCGUACGCGGCUAUAUAAAUCAAUGGUGAAAGACUCCGGCUCAACCUGAACAGUGCCAUUGAUACUGGAUAGCUUGAGUAUUGGAGGGGUACAUGGAAUUGAUGGUGUAGCGGUGAAAUGCCUAUAUACCAUCAUGAACACCCAUCUCGAAGGCAUUGUACUGGCCAAUAACUGACGCUGAUGCACCAAAGCAUGG